rnacentral:rRNA from 1 species
CACGUAGGCACCAAGCGUUGUCCGGAUUUAUUGGGCGUAAAGAGCUCGUAGGCGGUUCAGUAAGUCGGGUGUGAAAACUCUGGGCUCAACCCAGAGAGGCCACCCGAUACUGCUGUGACUUGAGUACGGUAGGGGAGUGGGGAAUUCCUGGUGUAGCGGUAAAAUGCGCAGAUAUCAGGAGGAACACCGGUGGCGAAGGCGGAUCUCUGGGCCAUUACUGACGCUGAGGAGCGAAAGCGUGGGGAGCGAACAGG